ACCAAAACAAAGGAGACCAUCUGAUAACCAUUUUAUUCAUAUAUCUUUUUUAUAUACUUUUUCUCAGCUGAGACUCGGGUUGUUGUUUUUUGUUAUUGAGCUACGGUGGCCGACAAGUACAAACGCGCUGCAUAUAAGUAAACAAAUGUAUAAAGAAAACGCCGCAUAUCCAGUCAUACAACGGAAGUGCUCCAGGCCUCUAGGGGCAGUGCUGAGCUUCCACCCGCCGGACAGACAUGGCGUGCUGCGUUUUCUUUUUGUAUUUGUGUCUUAUUUGCAACGCGUUUCUGUAUGUGCAGCGCGUUUGUACUCGUCGGCCACCGUAUUGAGCCCAAGAUAAGUUAAUAAGCUGAAGUUAUUAGAAAACUGAAGACUGAAACCAGGGAGCAUUUAAUUUUUAUUCUUUCUAACAGAAUGCACUAAUUUCUUUUAGAAUAUUGAAAUAUUCUGUUUUUUGUUCUACAUCCAGCUGGGUGUCACUUUAAUUCUGUGGUAUACCUGAGUUAUUUAUAUUAUAUAAAAUAAUUUUCUGUUUCAUAAGUCUGUGGUCCUGUGAUCAUUGAGCUUGAAUCUGAAAAGCUGAAAAUCAUUCUGACCUGUCAGAUCCCUGGAGAUCCCUGACAUAAGCCCUAGAGUUAGAUACUGUAGAUAUUACACCCAGGGUCAGCAGCAUAGAUCUCUUUUAUAGAGAAGGACACACAUUCAGGUUACAUUUGCAUGUUUCAUGUUCAGUUCUGAGGUUGAUGGGGACUUCCAGGUGUUUAACCUGUACUGGGUUGUCACCUUGGACGUGGUCUUAAAGGUCGCUGACACUUUGUGCCUCAUGUGAGUCGUCACGGUCAUGAGCCAAGGUGGGAGCGGCUCUGCUUUGUCCUGAGGUUUGUGUGUGUCUGUGCGUGUGCCCUGUGACCGACUGGGGGUCCAGUCCAGGCUGAACCCGCCUCUCGAUAGGCUCCACCCCCCCGUCACCCUGACGGUUCAGAAAACAGAUGGGAGGACGAUGUGGACGUCAGGAUCAAAGUACAGGAAACCAACACGACGUCCCGAAGACUUGAUGCUGCUGGACUCAACUCACAAGCUGAUGUGAUCUGCGAUCGAUGGACGUGACGGCAGACGUCAGAGCGAAUCGGAAACUCGGAAACGGCUGGCGAGCAGACAGGAAGCAUGACUGUGUAAGUGUUUUAGUUUAAUUAUGAUUCUGCUGAGAUCAUAAUCAUCAGUACCAGACUGCUGUCUGUCAAACAACUUCUUACAAUUUAAAAUGAGAAACAAUCUCGUCGUUCUCUACAACUCAUGAGAUUGUUCUUUCAUUCAUCGUGUUCUUGUGAUCAGGAGGGUUUCGUCCUGACGGGGAGACGUCUUCGCUGUCCGCCUGGACGGUUUCUGACGGACACAAACGACCUGAGACGAUCACGUAGAGACGCCUCGUCAUCCAAAAGGCAAUAAAAUCAGAAUCGGUGAAAUGUUUUAGAAGGUGAAUUAAACCAACGAGCAGAUCUUGUUGAUCCAUUCUCUGGAUGAAGCUCCACGGCGCCCCCCAGCGGCAGAGCAGGAACCCUGCAGAGCGUCCUGACAAACGUCCUGCAGCAGCAAGGAGCAAAACAAAAAGAAAAGUCAAUCGACUCGAGUGGAGGGAAAAGAAAGAUGAAACGAUGAGAGCAGUGGACGAAAAGCUGAGACGCCAGAAAGGGGUGAAGGGGCUGAUGGGAAAUAAACGGGGAGUUAAAUGACAUGCUGUUAAAGCUCAAACGUGCAAAGUUUUGCUUUAUGUGUCUCCGCCUUCCUCCACAUCGACAGACGCCGCCUGAGACUGAAACCCCACCUGCCGUCAGCGUUCACCUUACAAGACAAGAGGGGGGACCCACAAACAAAAUGAUAAAAUCUGAAAAUCUGAUUCGUCUCUUCUCGUCUUCUUCUUCUUCUUCUCCCGCCUUAAACAUUAAGGAGCUGUACCGUGUUGAGUGUGAUGUCAUCAUACUUCCUGUGUGCUUUGCUCUGCUGGUGAGGAAACCCACCAGUGGAGUCUUAUUCAGGCAGAGCAGGGAGGUGAGGAGGGAGGAGGGAGGAAGAGGGGUGAGGAGGGGGGGAGGGGCGAGGAGGGGGGAGGGGCGAGGCUGCCGUCCGCAGGUUCUCAUUCCAAAAUAAAACAAACUCGGUGUGAAGAGAGAAGCCCGUGCUGAUCCUCAUAACUUCUCCUUGGACUGGACCCAAAUGAAGGGACCCGACUGCUCCUCGAUGAUCUGCUUCACCUGCUCGUAGAUCUCCUCCAGAGUGUCGCCCUGCACGAUGGCUGGAAGGACCAGAGACAAACAGGAAGUCAGCGAUCAGAAACUGAACAAUGAAACGAGUCUGCUGACACUUCUGAUCAUCGCACACACACAGCAGCCACAGACAGGAGAUUUGGGUUUGAUGAAGAUGGCGAUGGGGUGAAGCUGGGCCAGCUGGAGCCUCUUGAUGGCGUUCCCCGACACGUCCAGGAUACAGUGUUUACCCUGCACACCACAGAAGAACAACACGUUUAUCAUCACCAACAUCUUCUGUGUUCGACGAGCAACCUGUGGACGAUUCUCUCAAAGUCAAGUCUGUCUCGUGUUGCUUUAAAAUGGAAGCUGCUCAGAGCUCUGAACGUCAGUCGUCUCUGAGACACGAGACUCGUCCAAACUACAGCUGAGUGAGCAGUCAGAGUCCCACGGUGGUCUCCUGUGGACCUCAGAGACUCAGAUUGACCCUCAGUCCCUGAUGUCGUUGGUGUUGUGUACCUUCUCGGCCACCUCUCGGACCGACUGGACGCUGGUUCCGUACAGGUGGUUGUUGUACUGUCCCGCCUCGAUGAACCUGUGGUCCUGGAUGUCCUUCUCCAUCUGCUCUCUGGACACCACAAAGUGGUAGUCCCUGCCGUCCACCUCGUAGUCUCGCUUCGGCCUGGUCGUAUCUGUGAGAGGAGGACGACAAACGCUCGUCAGUUUGUCUCCAAGAAGAAUUAAGACGUGUCUUCAAAGGGAGCAGAGCCGGCCCUACCCACUGUGACGCCACGGGCAACAUUUUAUAUGGCCCCCCCAUCAGCAAUGUACAUUGUUUUUACAAUUGUCUUUAAUUUAUGUCACCCAAUUUACAUGCUUAACAAAUUACAAAAGAAUACAAAAAAAAAAAAUCUGAAAUACAAUAUAAAUACCCUUACCACAAAAUAAAUAAUGUUAUCUAUCUCUAUAUUAUGUAAAAUAUGAUAUAAUAUAUAAUUAAUUGUAUUUAAUAAAAUUAACUGGGCAUUGCUUUACAUUUGAA